rnacentral:rRNA from 1 species
AAUGAACGCUGGCGGCAGGCCUAACACAUGCAAGUCGAACGCCCCGCCAGGGGAGUGGCGCACGGGUGAGUAACGUGUGGGCAUAUGCCCUUCGGUUCGGAAUAACACAGGGAAACUUGUGCUAAUCCCGGAUAAGAUCUACGGAUGAAAGAUUCAUCGCCGAAGGAGUAGCCCGCGUGGGAUUAGCUUGUUGGUGAGGUAACGGCGCACCAAGGCGACGAUCAUUAGCUGGUCUGAGAGGAUGAUCAGCCACACUGGGACUGAGCCACGGCGCAGACUCCAACGGUAGGCAGCAGUGGGGAAUAUUGGACAAUGGGCGAAAGCCUAAUCCAGCCAUGCCGCGUGAGUGAUGAAGGCCUUAGGGUUGUAAAGCUCUUUCGCCAGGGAAGAUAAUGACGGUACCUGGAAAAGAAGCCUCGGCUAACUCCGUGCCAGCCGCCGCAGUAA